AGUCCUACGGGAGGCAGCAGUGAGGAAUAUUGGUCAAUGGCCGGAAGGCUGAACCAGCCAAGCCGCGUGAAGGACGAAGGUGCCAAGCAUUGUAAACUUCUUUUGUCAAGGGACAAAAUCAGGCUCGAGAGCCUGACCGAGGGUACUUGAAGAAAAAGCAUCGGCUAACUCCGUGCCAGCAGCCGCGGUAAUACGGAGGAUGCGAGCGUUAUCCGGAAUUACUGGGUGUAAAGGGAGCGUAGACGGUGAUGCAAGUCUGGAGUGAAAGGCGGGGGCCCAACCCCCGGACUGCUCUGGAAACUGUG
rnacentral:rRNA from 1 species